rnacentral:lncRNA from 1 species
CUUGAUGAUGUACCUAUUGCCGAGCUUGAUGUACAGGGUGGCCGUAGACGUGGACCUGGCCGUGGCCGAGGACGUGGCCGAGGACGUCGAGGGAGAGGAAGUCCGUGCAUGUCGUCGUAUGGGGUCACAUCCUAGAUCCCCAAUUCCCACCGCUGCGGCUACCCCGCGCGCGAUUUCGUAUGCGGACACCGUCCUCAUCAUCUUCGCGCACCACCACUUAAACCCCUAUCCCCAAACCCCACCACCAUCGACGCCUCCUCCUCCUCCAUG